AACAGCGCAAAGAUGCACAGAGUAUAAACAGCUCUAGCUCAGGAUAACAAACGGUGUUAGACAUGUGCUGGAUAUUGUUACAAACCUUACACGUGUGAGAAAUUUCACCUCUCAGUCUAUAUUUUUUUUGAUAGCAGAAGUUACACUUCAUUAAAGUACAUACUCAAGUCACUCUAAAUAUUAUACUCUUUAGACAGGGCUGUAUUCUACACUGCGAGAGCUCGUUUUAGGACAAAACAACAACUCAUUGCCCAGUUUGUGGUUUGAUGAUGGAUUCUAAUGACGCUCGCGCGGUAUAGUCUAUGACCAAGCAGCCACUUCAAACUGUUUCAGGUCAGUGAAAAGAAAUGUGGAUGAUUUUAACCCUAAACUAGAGGCUGUAUACCUCAGAAAUUAUCUCUCCAUCAUCCAGUGGUUCAUGACCAAAUUGUGAGAUCAGAGACAGUCGAGUUCAGAACCUCAUGGCCAAAAAUAAAAUAUGCCAUUUAUACAAUAAACAAGUCAAAAUGAUGUGUCCAGACUGAAAUACUACAGAUAGAAAUAAAAAAUUUU